CCGCGCNUCCAUGCAGUCGAGGGGCAGCAUUUCAGUUUGCUUGCAAACUGGAGAUGGCGACCGGCGCACGGGUGAGUAACACGCUAUCCNACCUGCCGAUAACUCGGGGAUAGCCUUUCGAAAGAAAGAUUAAUACCCGAUGGUAUAAUCAGACCGCANGGUCUUAUUAUUAAAGAAUUUCGGUUAUCGAUGGGGAUGCGUUCCAUUAGGCAGUUGGUGAGGUAACGGCUCACCAAACCUUCNAUGGAUAGGGGUUCUGAGAGGAAGGUCCCCCACAUUGGAACUGAGACACGGUCCAANCUNAUACGGGAGGCAGCAGUGAGGAAUAUUGGUCAAUGGGCGCAGGCCUGAACCAGCCAAGUAGCGUGAAGGAUGACUGCCCUAUGGGUUGUAAACUUCUUUUAUAUGGGAAUAAAGUUUUCCACGUGUGGAAUUUUGUAUGUACCAUAUGAAUAAGGAUCGGCUAACUCCGUGCCAGCAGCCGCGGUAAUACGGAGGAUCCGAGCGUUAUCCGGAUUUAUUGGGUUUAAAGGGAGCGUAGGUGGACAGUUAAGUCAGUUGUGAAAGUUUGCGGCUCAACCGUAAAAUUGCAGUUGAUACUGGCUGUCUUGAGUACAGUAGAGGUGGGCGGAAUUCGUGGUGUAGCGGUGAAAUGCUUAGAUAUCACGAAGAACUCCGAUUGCGAAGGCAGCUCACUGGACUGCAACUGACACUGAUGCUCGAAAGUGUGGGUAUCAAACAGGAUUAGAUACCCUGGUAGUCCACACAGUAAACGAUGAAUACUCGCUGUUUGCGAUAUACAGUAAGCGGCCAAGCGAAAGCAUUAAGUAUUCCACCUGGGGAGUACGCCGGCAACGGUGAAACUCAAAGGAAUUGACGGGGGCCCGCACAAGCGGAGGAACAUGUGGUUUAAUUCGAUGAUACGCGAGGAACCUUACCCGGGCUUAAAUUGCAUUUGAAUANUNUGGAAACAGGUUAGCCGCAAGGCAAAUGUGAAGGUGCUGCAUGGUUGUCGUCAGCUCGUGCCGUGAGGUGUCGGCUUAAGUGCCAUAACGAGCGCAACCCUUAUCUUUAGUUACUAACAGGUCAUGCUGAGGACUCUAGAGAGACUGCCGUCGUAAGAUGUGAGGAAGGUGGGGAUGACGUCAAAUCAGCACGGCCCUUACGUCCGGGGCUACACACGUGUUACAAUGGGGGGUACAGAAGGCAGCUACCUGGUGACAGGAUGCUAAUCCCAAAAGCCUCUCUCAGUUCGGAUCGAAGUCUGCAACCCGACUUCGUGAAGCUGGAUUCGCUAGUAAUCGCGCAUCAGCCAUGGCGCGGUGAAUACGUUCCCGGGCCUUGUACACACCGCCCGUCAAGCCAUGAAAGCCGGGGGUACCUGAAGUACGAACCGCAAGAGCUCCUAGGA
rnacentral:rRNA from 1 species